CGGCCACGGCGAUUCCGAUAACGGUGUUGCGGGUGAUGCGCUUGAUCAUGAUGCUUCCAAUCACUCGGGACUGGAGCUUUGUGGAUCGAGACAUCGCUCCUCAUAGCGUCUCGCGCAACAGUGUGCCCGACGCGCUCCACGACACGCCAGAGUCGGCCUCUCGCGGGCUCCGGCGAAGGGCCGUGCUGAUUUGUCCGGAUGCCGAGCGCAUGGCAUAAUCGAACGGUUGCGUAAGCGGCCCCAUCGUAUAGCGGCCUAGUACGCCGCCCUCUCACGGCGGUAACGCGGGUUCGAAUCCCGCUGGGGUCACCAACGGAAAAUGCCCGUCCGAAUGGACGGGCAUUUUGCAUUGCCGCCCCGCGCCCGCCGACGCGACGAGCACAGUGGUGCGAACGGGCGCGGAGUCGCACAAUGGCGGUAUGACCUCGCGGCCACCCGAAGACGAUGUGCUGCAACCGGCCGACGAAUGCACCGACCCCGUCGUGCUGGUCGCGCGGAUCGCAGAGGCGCUGCCGGCGCUCGACGCAGAUGCCCUCGAGCGACUCGCCAGGGCACUCGACGAGCUCAGUGAAGCCGUCGGACUGGCACUCGAUAUCAACUCCGACCUCUCGCC
rnacentral:tRNA from 1 species